rnacentral:rRNA from 1 species
GCUUGUCUCAAAGAUUAAGCCAUGCAUGUCUAAGUAUAAGCAACCUUAUACAGCGAAACUGCGUACAGCUCAUUAUAUCAGCAAUUAUUUAUUUGAAGAUCACCUAUUACAUGGAUAACCGUGGUAAUUCUAGAGCUAAUACAUGCGAAAAGACGGGUCGUAAGGCUCGUUGUAUUUAUUAGAUAAAAAACCAAUGCCCUUCGGGGCUCCUUGGUGAAUCAUAAUAACUUAACGAAUCGCAUGGCCUUGCGCCGGCGAUGGUUCAUUCAAAUUUCUGCCCUAUCAACUUUCGAUGGUAGGAUAGUGGCCUACCAUGGUAUCAACGGGUAACGGGGAAUUAGGGUUCGACUCCGGAGAGGGAGCCUGAGAAACGGCUACCACAUCCAAGGAAGGCAGCAGG